CAUCGCGCCUCUGCGAGCGUUGUAAAAUAGGUAGAGAGGCGGCAGCCGAGAGGUCGCAGACCUGGCCUCGGCGAUGGAGGCUUGCGCUCUUGAGGACCCAUCGGAGAUCGGCGGCGGAGAGGGAAAAGGCGCGGUGUCCGAUGAGUGUUGCAUACUACGCAGGCACGAGAGUGAUUUCAGCCCUUGCUCGCUGAUGUGGAGGUGAUGCGCGAGCUUUUGGUGUGACCGGGGCCACACGAGCUUGACCGAGCAUGCCACGCAAUCGUAAUUUAGCGAACCCUUUUCCCGAAGCCGUUUUGCUUCGAUGAGGCAUUGUGUUCUUGGUGAUGUCUGGAAGAGAUGUGGCUUUGGAAGAUGACGUGAAAUACACAGGAAAGGAAAGAAGUAAAAGGAUGUUUUGCAUGAGAGUAUACCAUUUGCAAAUUUAUUCAGUAAUUUGAAGAUUUAUAUAAGGGCCUGUUCAGACAGUGGUGUUUCAGCUUCCUGCUACAUAUGGAAAGUGCUCCUAUCACAAGCCUGGUGACCUGAGCUAAUCCUGGGGCCCACGUGUAGAAGAGAGCGGACUCUUGAAAGUUGUCGUCAGACCACACAUACACAAUAAGAAAAAAAAAUCAAUGUAGUAAAGCUUGAAAUAUUAUAAUGUGCUGUUUUAUUGAAAUGUAAACAUGGUAGAAGUGAUUAUGAAACAAAUUGAUUCCAUACCUUGAGCGUUUUUGUACAAAACUACCCACUGAUGGGAGGUGUCAUUCUGUAAAUGUUUCUCUUAUUGGUUAAUGAAUAAAGCACUAUUGGCAAAUAGGAACGCAAGAUAGGCAGGACUAGGAGACAAUGAGGAUCAUCUCUGUGUGUUAUUUUGAGAGAUAGAAUGGCAGCAAACUGCUCAUAACAUAGCCUCUUCCAAAAUGAGAAAGGGAUUAAAAUUGUCAAAAUACUUGAACUCUGUUUAUGCUCAUUCAGGUACAGCUGGAGUUGGAUAGUUAUGUGCUAUGUUGUGGCUAUUGCCAACCAAAAUGAACUGUAAUUUCUUGUCAGUUGCUACCUGGUAGAGGGCUAGCCCAAAGUCAACCUAGUCAGAAGUGUCCUUGUUACAUUUCAGGAACCAUGCCAAAUAGGAUGGCUGCCCAAUAAAAGCAGCUAGUUUGUCCUCAUGGAUCCAAUUCUA